rnacentral:rRNA from 1 species
CCCUUAGAUGUUCUGGGCCGCACGCGUGCUACACUGAGUAAAUCAAUGGGUAAGGGAACACGAAAGUGCAACCUAAUCUUGAAAUUUGCUCGUGAUGGGGAUCGACGGUUGCAAUUUUCCGUCGUGAACGAGGAAUACCUUGUAGGCGCGUGUCAUCAUCACGCGCCGAAUACGUCCCUGCCCUUUGUACACACCGCCCGUCGCUCCUACCGAUUGAGUGAUCCGGUGAGGCUCUGGGACCUGGACGGAAAGAGCGUUUCGCUUGUUCUGUUUGGGAAACUUGGUCGAACCUUAUCAUUUAGAGGAAGGAGGAGUCGUAACA